UUGCUGUGAUGACUUUCUUAGGACACCUUUGAAUUAAACGUGAAAAGAAUUUUGUUUUCUGAGCAAU
rnacentral:snoRNA from 1 species